UACGUAGGGGGCUAGCGUUGUCCGGAAUCAUUGGGCGUAAAGAGCGUGUAGGCGGCCCGGUAAGUCCGCUGAAAAAGUCAAAGGCUCAACCUUUGAAUGUCAGUGGAUACUGCCGGGCUAGAGUCCGGAAGAGGCGAGUGGAACUCCUGGUGUAGCGGUGGAAUGCGCAGAUAUCAGGAAGAACACCAACGGCGAAGGCAGCUCGCUAGGACGGUACUGACGCUGAGACGCGAAAGCGUGGGGAGCGAACAGG
rnacentral:rRNA from 1 species